rnacentral:rRNA from 1 species
UACAGAGGUCUCAAGCGUUGUUCGGAUUCAUUGGGCGUAAAGGGCGCGUAGGCGGCCUGUUAAGUCGAACGUGAAAUCCCCGGGCUCAACCCGGGAACUGCGUCCGAUACUGGCAGGCUUGAAUCCGGGAGAGGGAUGCGGAAUUCCAGGUGUAGCGGUGAAAUGCGCAGAUAUCGGGAGGAACACCUAUGGCGAAGGCAGCUCGCUGGGACGUUACUGACGCUGAGACGCGAAAGCGUGGGGAGCAAACAGG